rnacentral:sRNA from 1 species
GCUGGGCUUGGUGGCAGGCGCCUUUAGUCCCAGCUUCUUGGGAGGCUGAGGCAGGAGGAUCACUGGAGGCCAAGAGCUCAAGUCCGGCUUGGGCAACACAGCCAGACUCUGUCUCAA